CGGACGGGUGAGUAAUGUCUGGGAAACUGCCCGAUGGAGGGGGAUAACUACUGGAAACGGUAGCUAAUACCGCAUAACGUCGCAAGACCAAAGAGGGGGACCUUCGGGCCUCUUGCCAUCGGAUGUGCCCAGAUGGGAUUAGCUAGUAGGUGGGGUAACGGCUCACCUAGGCGACGAUCCCUAGCUGGUCUGAGAGGAUGACCAGCUACACUGGAACUGAGACACGGUCCAG
rnacentral:rRNA from 1 species